UACGUAGGGUGCAAGCGUUAAUCGGAAUUACUGGGCGUAAAGCGUGCGCAGGCGGUUCGUUGUGUCGGCGGUGAAAGCCCCGGGCUUAACCUGGGAAUGGCCGUUGAAACUGGCGAACUGGAGUGUGGCAGAGGGGUGGAAUUUCCGCGUGUAGCAGUGAAAUGCGUAGAGAUGCGGAGGAACACCGAUGGCGAAGGCAGCCCCUGGGCUAACACUGACGCUCAGGCACGAAAGCGUGGGGAGCAAACAGG
rnacentral:rRNA from 1 species